rnacentral:rRNA from 1 species
UACGUAGGGGGCAAGCGUUGUCCGGAAUUAUUGGGCGUAAAGAGCGUGUAGGCGGCCAGAUAAGUCCGCUGUGAAAUCUCGAGGCUCAACUUCGAGCUGUCGGUGGAAACUAUCUGGCUAGAGUCCGGAAGAGGAGAAUGGAAUUCCUGGUGUAGCGGUGAAAUGCGCAGAUAUCAGGAGGAACACCGGUGGCGAAGGCGGAUCUCUGGGCCUUACCUGACGCUGAGGCGCGAAAGCUAGGGGAGCGAACAGG